UAGUGGCAGACGGGUGAGUAAUGCAUAGGAAUCUACCUAGUAGUAUGGGAUAGCCACUAGAAAUGGUGGGUAAUACUGUAUAAUCCCUGCGGGGGAAAGAUUUAUCGCUAUUAGAUGAGCCUACGUUAGAUUAGCUAGUUGGUGAGGUAAAGGCUUACCAAGGCUAUGAUCUAUAGCUGGUCUGAGAGGACGAUCAGCCACACUGGAACUGAGAUACGGUCCAGACUCCUACGGGAGGCAGCAGUGGGGAAUAUUGGACAAUGGGCGAAAGCCUGAUCCAGCUAUGCCGCGUGAGUGAAGAAGGCAUUCGGUUGAAAAUCUUCA
rnacentral:rRNA from 1 species